GACGAACGCUGGCGGCGUGCUUAACACAUGCAAGUCGAACGGAAAGGCCCUGCUUUUGUGGGGUGCUCGAUUGGCGAACGGGUGAGUAACACGUGAGUAACCUGCCCUUGACUUUGGGAUAACUUCAGGAAACUGGGGCUAAUACCGGAUAGGAGCUCCUGCUGCACGGUGGGGGUUGGAAAGUUUCGGCGGUUGGGGAUGGACUCGCGGCUUAUCAGCUUGUUGGUGGGGUAGUGGCUUACCAAGGCUUUGACGGGUAGCCGGCCUGAGAGGGUGACCGGCCACAUUGGGACUGAGGUACGGCCCAGACUCCUACGGGAGGCAGCAGUGGGGAGUAUUGCACAAUGGGCGGAAGCCUGAUGCAGCAACGCCGCGUGCGGGAUGACGGCCUUCGGGUUGUAAACCGCUUUCGCCUGUGACGAAGCGUGAGUGACGGUAAUGGGUAAAGAAGCACCGGCUAACUACGUG
rnacentral:rRNA from 1 species